UACGUAGGGGGCAAGCGUUGUCCGGAUUUAUUGGGCGUAAAGGGCUCGUAGGCGGUUUGUCGCGUCGGGAGUGAAAACUCAGGGCUUAACCCUGAGCCUGCUUCCGAUACGGGCAGACUAGAGGUAUGCAGGGGAGAACGGAAUUCCUGGUGUAGCGGUGAAAUGCGCAGAUAUCAGGAGGAACACCGAUGGCGAAGGCAGGUCUCUGGGCCACUACUGACGCUGAGAAGCGAAAGCAUGGGGAGCGAACAGG
rnacentral:rRNA from 1 species